UGGAGUUCCCUGGGCCAGGGAUCAGAUCUGAGCUGCAGUUGAAAUGUAAGCCACAGCUGAGGCAACACUGGAUCUUUAACCCACUGUGCCGGGCCAGGGCUUGAACCUGCGUCCCAGCACUCCCAAGACACUGCCAAUCCCAUUGCACAUAGCGGGAACUCCUAUCCCUUCCUUUUUAAAAAUGUCUUUGCUGAAGGAUUUUAAAGUAAAUCUUAGACAUUGUAUCAUUUCACUUGUAAAUACUUAAAAAUUGAUUUUUAACAGAUAAGGUCUUCAUAAUUUUAAUCAAGCCACACUAUCAUUGCCACUCAACAAAAUUAAUAAGAUUUCCUUAAUAAUCAUGUCAUAAUCAGCCUGUAUUCAAUUUUCCUAUCUCAAAAAUAUCUUCCUCCAGGUUAAGUCAGGAUCCAACAUUACAUUUAGUUAGUAUGUCUCUUUUAAAAACUCUAUAUAACAUUCACCCUGUUUUUAAUUUCUUUCCUCUUGCUAUUUAUAUGAGGAAAUAACUAAAUCAUAUAUUCUAUAGAAUUUCCUCCAUUCAAGAUCCGGCUGAUGGUAUCCCCAUGGUGUCUAGUUAGAUCUAGAAACUUGUCUGAAAUUUUUUUCCAGGAAUACUCCAUAGGUGAUGCUGUGUACUUUCUUUUGCAUCACUCCAGGAGGCACAUGAUAUAUAGUUGUUCCACUUUCAGUGAUCUUAAGUUUGGUCAGUGAUUUUCGGUGCCAUCUACCAUCAAUCUUCCUUAUCAGUCUUUCACAUAAUGUUGUUAGCAGCCAUUGAUGAUUAUUGCCUGGAUCUAUUAUUUCAUUAGGAUUUGCAAAAUAGUGAUUUGGAGAUUCUAUCAAACCUUUUGCAUUUAUUAUCUGUGAUUCUUCUGUAAAGAUAAACUUCUCUAAAGCUGAAUGGGAAAGAUGGGAUAAAAUGUUUAUGAAUUUUUAGAAUGGGUUAGAGCCCCAGCAACCUACAAAGGUGACAAAGAGGAGUUAGCAAUUAGUUGGAUGUGAGGAUUUAGGGAAAAGCGGGCGUCAGAGACUACCUCCAGGUGGGUUUGAUAGUGAGUGCCAGGAGUGUGAUGCUGUUAUAGAAGGUAUAGGUCUCAAUCAAAUUAACCCCCUCAAGGAGCCACACAUAUUCGAGAGAUAUUUUGUCUCACACUGUUACCUAUUGCACAGUCUUGAGUCAGAAUUUAAGCCAAUAGUGGGGCCACUGUUCAUGUGUCUACCUGGUGGGGUGGAGUGCAUUUGGGAGGCAAAGCAUUGGAUCUCACUUGGAGAUGCUGAGUUUGAGGUGCUGCUGUCAUAUUCAUGGGAGGAUGUAGAGCAGACUACAGAAAAUGCAGGAGGGAACCUGAGAAAAAGGAUAAACUAGAAUCAUACACAGAAGACGAUGUGUAUGUUAUCUGGAAGUAAGCCCUGAUGCUUAACUAUGAACCCAAGGCAUUGCCAAGGGAGUGAUUACAUAGAAGAAAGAGGGCUCAGAAACAAAAGCUAAAUGUCAAUCCACUCCCUAAUGUCUGUGAUUCUUCCUCUGUGACUGUGAGCUAGCCCAACCCCACAUUUCCUUAGAAUAGUCACAGACACAGGGACUAGAGUUGAUAGGUGUACAGAGGUCCCACUGAUGGCUUACACUCUGACUGAUAACUCUGUAAUGGGUAAAACUUUGAGGCAAACCAAAUACCUCUCAAAUAUGUGUGGCUCUUGAGGAAUCAGAUUGAUUGGGACCUGUAUUAGUUUCCUAUGGCUGCUGUAAUCAGUUACCACAAAAUUGGUGGCUAAAAACAAUACACAUUUACAUUCUAACAGGAGACCAGAAGUCUGAAAUGGGUUCCACAGGGCUCCUGUUCCCCAUCCUGUGUUCAGCAUUACCUGAAUAAGCCAUAGCCUCACAGAUCUGCUCAAGAUUACCUGGAUAGGCUUUCAUUUCUAUGGCUCUCUGCUAUGGUUUCUUUUUUUUUUUUUUUUCUCUUUUUUCAUUUUAAAAAAUUUUGUUAAAGAAUAGUUGAUAUACAAUGUUAUGAUAAUUUCUGCUAUGCAGCAAAAUGAUUCAGUUAUACGUGUACACCAGUUGUCUUUCAGAUUCUUUUACCACGUAGACUAUCACAGAAUAUGGGUAGAAUUCUCUGUGGUGUAUAGCAGGUCCGGGGUGGUCAAUCAUUCCAUAUACCUCAGUGUGCAUGUGCCAAUUCCAAAACCCCAGUCCAUCCCUCCCCUCCCUACCUGUCCCCUUUGGUAACCAUAAGUUUAUUUUCAAAGUCUAUUGAGUCUGUUUGUGUUCUGCAAAUAAGUUCAUUUGCAUCCUUUUUUAAAUUCUACAUAUAAGUGACAUCAUAUGAUGUUAGUCUUUCAUUGUCUGACUAACUGCACUUAGUAUGAUAAUUUCUAGUUCCAUUCAUGUAGUUGCAAAUGGCAUUGUUUCAUUCUUGUUUAUGGCAGAGUAAUACUCCACUGUAUAUAUCUACCACAUCUUCUUUAUCCAUUCUUCUGUAGAUGGACAUUUAGAUUGUUUCCAUGUCUUGGCUAUUCUAAAUAGUGCCGCAGUGAACAUUGGGGUAUAUAUAUCUUUUCAAAUUAUGGUUUUCUCUGGAUAGAUGCCCAGGAGUGAGAUCAUAUGGUAGUUCUAUUUUUAAUUUUUUGAGGCAUCUCCACAUUGUUUUCCAUAGUGGUUGUACCAAUUUACAUUCCCACCAACAGUGUAAGAGGGUUCCCUUUUAUUUGUACCCUUUCCAGAAUUUAUGUAGACUUUGUGUUGAUGCCAUUCUGCCUGGUGUAACAUGGUACCUUAUUGUAGUUUUGAUUUGCAUUUUUCUAAUUAUUAGUGAUGUUGAGCAUCUUUACAUGUGCCUUUUGGCCAUCUGUAUGUCUUUGGAGAAAUAUCUAUUUAGAUCUGUCCAGUUUUUGAUUGGGUUGUUUGGUUUUUUGAUAUUUACCAAUAUAAGCUUGUUUAUUUUGGAGAUUAAUCCCUUGUCGGUUGCCUCAUUUGCAAGUAUUUUUUUCCAUUCUGUGGAUUGUCUUUUUGUUCUCUUCCCUGCUAUGGUUUCUACCUGAAAUCUCCUUUAGCCUUUUUAUGUUUUUAAAUUUAUUUUUAAAAUUUUCGGCUAUGGCCUCUAAUGGCUUGAUAUGGGAUCUUAGUUGUUGGACCAGGGAUCAAACCCAAACCACAGCAGUGGAAGCGCUUCUAACCACCAGGCUAUUAGGAAAUACCUCCCCUUACCUUUUAAAAAAAUAACAGCAUUAUUGAGACAUAAUUCACAUAACAUAAAAGUCACCCUCUUUAAAGUAUACAGUUCAGUGGUGUUUAGUAUAUUGCGUUGUGCAAACAUCACCACAGUUGAUUUUAAAACAUUUUGUCACCCUCAAAAUGAAACUGCAGUAGCAGUCAUUCUUCAUCUUCCCUCAACUCUAGGCAAUCUACUUUCCAUCUCUAUAGACAUGCCUAUUCUGGGCAUUUUGUUUAAAGGAAACAAAUGAAAAUGUGGUCUUUUUCACUUAGUUCAUUUUCAAGUUUCAUCUGUGGAAUAGCAUGAAUUAGACAUUCCUUUCCUUGUUUUUGCCAAAUAAUAUUCAAUUACUUGGCUAUAACACAUUUAAUUCACCUCUUCAUCAGCUGGUGGACUUUUGGGUUUCUACUUUCUGGCUGUUAUGAAUAAUGUUGCUGUGAGUAUUUGUGUACAUGUUUUACAUGGACACAGGUUUCCAUUUCCCUUGGGUGUAUACCUAGGGGUGGAGGCACUGGGUCAUACUGUAACUCCUUCCUUGUAACUUCGCAUAUCAAAAUUAUGUUCUGCUACCAUAGUGUUCUACCAUUUCCCACUCCGAAUGAAAUGUCUCCGCAGUACUUCCCUUGUUUAGUACUUCAGAUCUGUAUUGACCAAUCUGCCUUGGAGCUCAUUCUUGAAUGGGUAUUUCCAUCCAUGUGAAUUUCUGGAAAGCAGGGACAAGCUCUCUCAUUUUGAUUUGCCCCAAGGCCUCAAGUGUAUUACCCUGCAUGAAGCAGGAACUCUGUAAGUGCUUUUGAAUUAGUGGGGAAUAAAAGUGUUAAAAUUUUGAUAUGCUUGAUCCCACAAAGUGUGCGUAAUACUAAAUAAAAUAAUGUUCACUGUAAAAUUUCAACAAAUAAAUGUUAAUAAAUAACAAAGUAAUGGUGGAUAUGGUUAACCAAUUUAGUACAUUAAAGCCUAUUUAGUUUGAAUUUUAGAAGCUCUAGUAUUUUGGGUUUAUAACUGGAAAAAUGAAGCAUUUUAGAAAUUCUAGAUGGAACUUUGAAAAUGUAGUACAGAAUAUACAAAAGUAAAUGACAGCAUAUGUUAAAAUUUACUUUAUGAUUCAAAUUUCACAUUGUUCUAAAGAAAAUAAAAAAGGCUUUUCAGU
rnacentral:lncRNA from 1 species